AUUUUGUAUUUCUUGUCAGAGAAAUACUCAGUGCAGGUGGAAAAGCAUUAAGAGAGCAAUAUGAGUGGGAUUAAACGUGGCUCAAGUGAUUCUUCUUGCUGAAAUGUGUAAUUAAGAUAAUCAGGGGGAGGAGAGGUUGUUUGCAAGUGUGCUGUGUCUCUUCAUAAGGAGCAGUGUGUGACUGUGAGUGGGUGUCUUGCCCUGAAGAUUAACCUCUGAUCCUUUCUGUCCAUCUUUGGAGAACAUCAUGAUCCUCAGCACCCUGAUUCUCCUCUUGAUUCUUCCUGGUUUGGAAACUCUUGUACUUACACAGGAGAAAGGGAUGUCUGUAAAACCAGGAGAACAUGCUAAAAUAUCCUGCAGAUCUGAUGCUUCUAGAGAUUGGAUUUUAACAUGGUACCAACAAAAACCAGGAAAAUCUCCAACAUUCUUGCUUGCUGAUAGCACCAGAGCGAGUGGACUGCCAAGUCGAUUCACUUACAGUGGAUCUGGAUCCCAAGAAUAUCUGCAUAUUAACAGUGUUCAGGCUGAAGAUGAAGCCGUCUAUUACUGUGCUUGCCACGGCUGUGUGGGAAGCGGCACUGCAGUUUUCGGUGGAGGCACUGAAGUAACUUUUGCUCGUCCUCCAUCUCCUCCGUCCCUCGUUCUGCUGGCUCCCUCUCAGGCUUCCUCCUCAGGUGAUGAAGUCAGGGUGGUGUGUCUGGCGCAGGGUUUCCGUCCUGACAGUGCCACUCUGUCCUGGUCUGAUAACGGCAACGCUGUAGCGGGCGCCGAGGUGCAGACGAGUUCGUCUCAGCGUCAAUCUGACGGCACCUUCGUCCAAAGCAGCAUGCUGAAACUCAGCCCAGAGCGCUGGAGCUCCGGACGAACCUACACGUGCCACCUGAACCACCCGGCUCUGUCAGCACCGCUGAGUCAGAGCACCAGUGCUGACAAGUGCAGCUAGACAGCUGGAGAAAUGGAUGUGCUGCAAGUAGUAAUGUGGUCAUCAGCAUAGAGAGAGGAGAACUGGAAUAUUAUCCAAAAAAAUGCCUUUGUUCAUUUCUCUUGUGCUUUUCUGCUGCGCCUUUAGAGUCACAGUGGAACAUUUGUCUGAAAUUGUAUCCUGUAGUUUUUAUCAGCUUUCCUCAAUAAAAUGAUUUCCAAAUCCAAAA